GAUGAACGCUGGCGGCGUGCCUAAUACAUGCAAGUCGAGCGAACAGACGAGGAGCUUGCUCCUCUGACGUUAGCGGCGGACGGGUGAGUAACACGUGGAUAACCUACCUAUAAGACUGGGAUAACUUCGGGAAACCGGAGCUAAUACUGGAUAAUAUAUUGAACCGCAUGGUUCAAUAGUGAAAGACGGUUUUGCUGUCACUUAUAGAUGGAUCCGCGCCGCAUUAGCUAGUUGGUAAGGUAACGGCUUACCAAGGCAACGAUGCGUAGCCGACCUGAGAGGGUGAUCGGCCACACUGGAACUGAGACACGGUCCAGACUCCUACGGGAGGCAGCAGUAGGGAAUCUUCCGCAGUGGGCGAAAGCCUGACGGAGCAACGCCGCGUGAGUGAUGAAGGUCUUCGGAUCGUAAAACUCUGUUAUUAGGGAAGAACAAAUGUGUAAGUAACUAUGCACGUCUUGACGGUACCUAAUCAGAAAGCCACGGCUAACUACGUG
rnacentral:rRNA from 1 species